UUAAGUGCGGAAUCUGAACUGGAGGAAGACCCAGGUUCCAAUUCUGCCUCAGGGGAGACCUCAGUUUCCCCAGGCCCUUAAGAGUGACCCAGGUACGUGGGGAGAGGCCCCUAGGCGGAGCCAGUCUCCCCUGCAUCCAGCCUGGCCUCGAUUCCCUGCUGGGGACUCCCCUCGAGGAAGGCUCUCCAGGGCCCUUGGGGGACUCCGAUCGCCGGGCUCCAGCCCGGUCCGGGUCGGUGACGUAGUCCCCGCUGCUCCUCCCUGAGCUCUCCCUUCCGCACCUCCCAGCUCACGGCGGGGCUGCGGCUUCUCGAGCCUGGGAGGUGCGGCCGGGCUAGCGGGCCAAAGACCCCCUCCUGGAGGCUGCCCCGGGACCGGGAAAGCGGCGGCGGCGGCCCCCCACACCCCAGUGGGGUCUGAGCAGCAACAGCCACGUGACUGUCCACGGCGCCCAGGGCAGCCAUCUUCCUCCGGCCAGCCCCCUAUGACGCCGGCCAAUCGCCAGGGAGGGCAGGGCAGGGCAGGACGCGGAGCCCGGAGCAGGCUGCGCGCACGCCCCGCCCAGCCCCGCGGAUACCUCUCCGGUCAGCCGUCACUUCCCGCCCCCUGCUCAUUUCCUCCAGUCCGGCCAGCUUAGGCCUCCGGCUCUUCUGCGGCCCCCUUCGGAGGCGCGAUGCUGCCCAGUGCAGGCCCCCAGCGCGGAGGGAGGACCUGCUUCCCAUCUCAGCAGCUGGCAUGCAGAGUCCAGGCAGGGAGCCUGAGGGGUGCCCGGGGCAGCCCCCCUUUUUACUGAGAAGGAGCGAAAGCCCCGGGAAGGCACGCAGGUAAGCGGUAGAACUGAGAACUCGAAGGGACCACAGAGGGCUAAAGCCCGACGGCCCAGUUUACAGAAGAAGAAACUGAGGCCCGGGGAAAAGACUUUGUCUCCAGAUCCGAGAUUAAGAGCCGCAAUGGCCCCCUUGGGCCAACCCCCUCCGGCAUUUCAUUGCCUCAGGGAACCCCCAGUGGGGAAAGACCUCUGGGGCGCAGUUAAUAGCUGGAGGGUCUCCUGGGAGCAGUCAGUCAAUCCCCGGCCUUUGAUUGGGUCCCCGCUAAGGGCCCACCCCCGGGCUCAGUGGUGGGAUGAGCCAGGCGCUGCCCUUCUGGAGCUCAGCCUCUGUCUAAAGGGGAGACCACCAGCAAACUGAAGGCAGGCGCUCCGGGGACAGCUUGGAGAGCCUGAGGGGCUUCGGAGAAAGGAGGCUGCGCUGUCCGGUUUGGGAUUGGGCGGGAGAGGCGGAGCUGAGAGGCCAGAGCCCAGAAAUGAUCUUGAAGUGCUCGGGAGCUGAUGAGGUCACAGAGCGAGGUAGUACCGAGGGAGAAGAGGCUCAGAGCAGAGCCCUGGAGGUUGAGGACCAACGGAGGAGGCCCAGGAGGUACCGGAGGCAGGUGGUGUCCUCCUUGGGCUUUAAGAGAGCCCCGAAUUUGCCUCUGGACCAGACCUGGGAUUUGUUGGCUGACUAAGGGGACCCCCGCCCCCCCCAGACUGAUCUUGUCUCUUCUGAGACCCCAGGGCCACGCAGAGUUCUGCCUCACCUGCGGAAUUCCAUACAUCCUAUGGGAGCCCAGCAUUUGAAUCCAGGGCACACCAGCCCCAGGGCCAGACUCCCUUCCGGUCACAGCCAUCAUUUUUACUGGUGAAGAAACUAAGGCGCCCAGAGGGCAGGAAGAGCCCCUUCAUAGGAUCAUAGAUUUGGAGUGGGAGCUUGGAGGCCCCGGAGUCCAAACCCCCCCUUUGACAAAUAAGGAAACUGAGGCAUGGGGACGAGCCUAGAAGAUUUUUUUUGGAGUUUGUUUUUUACUUAAACCCUUUUCUGGGGCAGCUGAGUGCUCAGUGGAUUGAGAGCCAAACCUAAAAACAGGAGGUCCUGGGUUCCAAUCUGGCUUCAGACACUCCUUCAGCAUGCCACCCUGGGCAAGUCACUUCACACACACACACACACCCAAUUACCCAGCCUUCACCCCUCUCCUGCCUUAAAACCAACACACAGUAGUAAUUCUAAGGCAGAUGGUGGGGGUUUAAAAAUAAAGAGGGGGCAGCUGGGUGGCUCAGUGGAUGGAGAGCCAGGCCUAGAGAUGGGAGGUCCUGGGUUCCAAUCUGGCCUCAGACACUUCCCAGCUCUGUGACCCUGGGUAAGUCACUUGACCCCCAUUGCCUAGUCCUUACCAGUCUUCUGCUUUGGAACCAAUACACAGUAUUGAUUCUAAGAUGGAAGGUGAGGGUUUUAAUAAAUUAAUUAAUUAAUUAAUGAACAAAUAGAUAGACAAAUGAAUAAAUAAAUAGAAUAUAAAAUAAAAAUAAAUUAAAUUUUUAAAAAACCCCUCCUAUCCUCAAUCAAUACUAAGGAAGAAGAGUGAUAAGGGCCCAGCAAUAGGGGGGAGGGGGGGAGUGACUUGCCCAGGGUCACACUGCUAGGAAGUGUCUGGGGCCAGAUUGGAACCCAGGACCUGCCACUACCUCAGUGUCCCCCAGAGCUGGGUUUGAGAUAUCAGCCAAUAACCUUUUGGACAGAGUACCUGGGAGAGCUGGGCCCCUGGGCCUCGGACCUUUAAACAGCAACUCCUGAAGCUCAGAAAGGUAAAGCAUUCGCAGGCAGCCACAGAUCAGGCAGAACUUGAUCUCAGGACUUGGGCUCCCGGCCUCUAAAGAAGGCCACAGCCACCCUAAUUUCCUGGCUUGCUUCCCAUCAGGCUGCUAUUGGAUGAUCUCCUGAAGAAGGGCGGUGCGGUGGGAGCUAGAUGUUGUCGGUUUCCCAUUUUGUAGGCCUUGGGCUUCCCCGUCUGUCCUCCUUUCUCCGAUGAAAGACUAGCUUGGAUAACCAAUGACUUUUUUGCAAUGUGACUCCUGAAACCAAACAGUGAUCUGUCAGACAACUGUCACUGCCACUCUUGGAUCCCGCUUGGACCCCAUCUUAUUGAUGUCUGCGACCCCCUGGCUUCAUUUGACCGCUUUAUCACACCAUUAACACCAUGACACCUUCAAGUGGACUCACACUGACACAUUUUUCCCACCCUGUAACUUCCUUCAGAUAACAGGGAGGGCAGAGUUAGUUUCAUCAUUUGAGAUGGAAAGAGUUAAACAUGUAAUUCUCUUUGAGAGGUUAUCCUGCCUCUGAAAUAUACAGUUUACCCAGAAUAGCCAAUAGCAGCUCUUUCUUAUCGGGGCUUCUAACAAAAAGGGAAACACAACUCAGUCCAAGAAGACUCUGCCACUCAUCCUGGGCGACCCCAGAAGUGGGUUAGUGUGGUUUCGCUCCAUCCUUCCUGCUCCAUGUGACAGCUGCUUGUGUAAAAGGGAGCCAGUUUCAGCUGACUAUAAAAGGAAACUUUGUCAUCAUUAGAAUGGUGCAAAAAUAGAAAGAACUUCAAAAUGUCCAGGUUGUCUGACCACUUGUAACAAAUAUUGUAAAUAGACUGCAUCCUUGGGGGAAGGUUUAGGUUAGAUCAGGCAUCCUUAGCCUUUUAUGGGUCAUAGACCCCUGACUGUGAACCUCUUCUCAGAAUCCAUUUUUAUUUCCUACAUUUGUAACUGAAGAAAAUGAUCAAUUUCAGUUCAAGUGAUGAAAAUAAAGAUUGAAUUUCUCCCCAUCCAAGUUCCCAGGGACCCUGAUAUCUCUUAUCACUCCAGAACUAGAUCUCUGAUCCUAUUAAAUACUGCCUUUGUUGGUUAGUACCUGUAUGACCCUGGGAAAGCAACACACUCUUUGGGCCCCAGGUUCAUUCUCAUAAACAAGGAGAUUGUACUAGGUAGCCUCUGGGAUCCAUUCCACCUCCAGACCUUUGUUCCUGUGUCCUCUCAGAGCCUCAGUUUCCCCAAAUGUAAACUUCUCCAUUGGUCAAGUUUCUCCUUUGCAAAAUGGAGAUAAAAACCCUCCCCUACUUGGUUGUAAGGCAAUUAAAAUGAAUGUACAAUAACUCGAGUAUUAUGAGAUUUAUUAAUAACAACUUGAAAUAAAGGACUAGAGUAAAACCCACCUAACUCAACCCUGAGGAAGAGAGGGCGGAGACACCAAACUAUAUACAAAUGUGACCUGCAAUGUGGUGGAGAGAGGAGAGGAAUUCUGGGAAAUACUGAAGGACUUCUGGGGGAUGAAGUCCAAGGUUCAAAAUUCUAAUUAAUACAAGGCCAUGUGAAUAGACGAGAUUUCUACUUUUUUCAGUGGGUUCUAGUAGCCAAGAAUAAAUCCACUUUCAGGAAGAGAAGAGCAGUCCUGAGAGGUGUCUGGAACCACCCAAUGAGCUGUUGCAUGAAAAGAUGACCGUUCACAGCAGGAAGUGGGCUACUUCAAGACUGACUCACUUGUUCAGCUUCAACAGAAGAGCCCAGGGUGAAACUGAGGCAUUCUCAGCUCUUUGGUGUGGUCUUCUGGAAGCAAUUCCCCAAUGGGAAACCCAAACCCACUGAGUAAGACCAGGUGAGCCAGGUAGAACGGGAUUCCCCUCCUGCCUCUGCCUCAUCCUUGAUGCUUUCCUCACCUCUUUAAGCCUUGAUUUCCCUCUCUGUAAAAUGGAGAGAAUAAUGUCCAUACUAAUUAGCUCUGCCAGGUGUCUGAGGAUCAAAAGAGAAGGCCACAGAGCUGCUUUUACAGAGCGUGCCAAGUCCUGUUAUUAAAGGGAUGUAAACAACGUUCUUGGGCCAAAGCAUUUCACUGUCUGAGCACUGAGAUCGAGCCGCCAAAAAAGAUUUGUUGCCUCCAGAAGCUCAUAGUACAGGCUGGGGGAAAGCGAGAGUUUGAACGAGGGCCUGAUUUUUAUUACUGAAUAUCUUCCUCAUCUUCCCUAAAAUAUGAGCUCCUGAAAGGGAGGCACCUGGAGGUCAGCCCCUAUUCAGAACUAGCGCUUUAGCCCACACCAGUGUUGCCCUUUUGACAGACCAACCCAGAGGACACAUUCAUUUCGAGCAAAAGGCAUUUAAUUAAACAGCAUCACCUAGGAAGGUAGAGACAAGAAAACUAUGUCUCCCCCUCCCCCAUACCCAUAAGGUGGCACUUUACUGACAAUUCCUACACCUGAGAGAUGCAUAGGGAAUAUGCCAGGAAGAAGGAAUGGAUCACAAAUGUGCCCAAAGCCACCAGCCCUUCCCUACCUACUGAGCUUCCCUAAACUCCUGAUGGCUUCUGCUGAGCCAUACAAAUCACCGGUGUCACCUGCACUGUGCCAGGAUCAGCUGAUACAGGCUGCAAAGAACAGAAAAGGCCAUCCAGUACAACCCCAUCAUUUUAUGAAAAAGGCCUGACUAAAGUCAUAACAGAGUCAGUAGCAAAGCCAAGAUCUGAAACCCAGAACUUCUGAUUCCCAAUCCAGUCCUCAUCCCCUCUCCCAGGCUCCUUCUCCACUGAAUCCUUGCCAUCUGCUAAGCUGCCUCAAAGAAGAGUGGUUAUUACAUUUUGUAUGUGUUUAGCCCAUAGCCUCAAGUCUAUUUUAUU